rnacentral:rRNA from 1 species
UACGGAGGGUGCAAGCGUUAUCCGGAUUCACUGGGUUUAAAGGGUGCGUAGGUGGGCAGGUAAGUCAGUGGUGAAAUCUCCGGGCUUAACCCGGAAACUGCCAUUGAUACUAUUUGUCUUGAAUAUCGUGGAGGUCAGCGGAAUAUGUCAUGUAGCGGUGAAAUGCUUAGAUAUGACAUAGAACACCAGUUGCGAAGGCAGCUGGCUACACGAAUAUUGACACUGAUGCACGAAAGCGUGGGGAUCAAACAGG